rnacentral:rRNA from 1 species
UACGUAGGUGGCGAGCGUUGUCCGGAUUUACUGGGCGUAAAGCGCGCGCAGGCGGCUAUCCAAGUCAGUGGUGAAAGCCCGGAGCUCAACUCCAGAACUGCCUUCGAUACUGGAGAGCUUGAGUCCGGGAGAGGUGAGUGGAACUGCGAGUGUAGAGGUGAAAUUCGUAGAUAUUCGCAAGAACACCAGUGGCGAAGGCGGCUCACUGGCCCGGUACUGACGCUGAGGUGCGAAAGCGUGGGGAGCAAACAGG